GAGUUUGAUCAUGGCUCAGAUUGAACGCUGGCGGCAUGCCUUACACAUGCAAGUCGAACGGCAGCAUGAUCUAGCUUGCUAGAUUGAUGGCGAGUGGCGAACGGGUGAGUAAUACAUCGGAACGUGCCCUGUAGUGGGGGAUAACUAGUCGAAAGAUUAGCUAAUACCGCAUACGACCUGAGGGUGAAAGUGGGGGACCGCAAGGCCUCAUGCUAUAGGAGCGGCCGAUGUCUGAUUAGCUAGUUGGUGGGGUAAAGGCCCACCAAGGCGACGAUCAGUAGCUGGUCUGAGGAGGACGAUCAGCCACACUGGGACUGAGACACGGCCCAGACUCCUACGGGAGGCAGCAGUGGGGUAAUUUGGACAAUGGGCGAAAGCCUGAUCCAGCAAUGCCGCGUGUGUGAAGAA
rnacentral:rRNA from 1 species